GGCAGGAUGGCCCAGUGGUCAGGGCGCUAGUCUGGGACUCAGGAGACCUGGAAUGAAUUCCCAGCUCUGCCA
rnacentral:tRNA from 1 species